GCGCAGGAAAAGAAACCAACAGGGAUUGCCCUAGUAACGGCGAGUGAAGCGGCAACAGCUCAAAUUUGAAAUCUGGCCCCCGGGUCCGAGUUGUAAUUUGUAGAGGAUGCUUUUGGUGCGGUACCUUCCGAGUUCCCUGGAACGGGACGCCAUAGAGGGUGAGAGCCCCGUCUGGUUGGACGCCAAUCCUUUGUAAAGCUCCUUCAACGAGUCGAGUAGUUUGGGAAUGCUGCUCUAAAUGGGAGGUAUAUGUCUUCUAAAGCUAAAUAUUGGCCAGAGACCGAUAGCGCACAAGUAGAGUGAUCGAAAGAUGAAAAGCACUUUGAAAAGAGAGUUAAAAAGUACGUGAAAUUGUUGAAAGGGAAGCGCUCAUGACCAGACUUGGGCUUGGUUGAUCAUCCAGGGUUCUCCCUGGUGCACUCUUCCAGCCCAGGCCAGCAUCAGUUCGCUGUGGGGGAUAAAGGCUUCGGGAAUGUGGCUCCCUCGGGAGUGUUAUAGCCCGUUGUGUAAUACCCUGUGGUGGACUGAGGUUCGCGCAUUCACAAGGAUGCUGGCGUACUGGUCAUCAGCGACCCGUCUUAGAACACGGACCAAGGAGUCGUCUUCAUAUGCAAGUGUGCGGGUGGGGGACAUAUCCGCGUUGUGAAAGGGAGCGCAUGCGAGAGCUUCUGCGCGGCAUCUCCCGGUCGUGAUCUUCUCGCGCGCAUAAGCUAUAAGACGACCCGCCGGGCAACGAAACAUAAGAUUUGAGAACAGGGGG
rnacentral:rRNA from 1 species